rnacentral:rRNA from 1 species
GAUGAACGCUGGCGGCGUGCCUAAUACAUGCAAGUAGAACGCUGAAGGAGGAGCUUGCUCUUCUGGAUGAGUUGCGAACGGGUGAGUAACGCGUAGGUAACCUGCCUGGUAGCGGGGGAUAACUAUUGGAAACGAUAGCUAAUACCGCAUGACAACAGUUAUUGCAUGAUAACUGUUUAAAAGGGGCAACUGCUCCACUACCAGAUGGACCUGCGUUGUAUUAGCUAGUUGGUGAGGUAACGGCUCACCAAGGCGACGAUACAUAGCCGACCUGAGAGGGUGAUCGGCCACACUGGGACUGAGACACGGCCCAGACUCCUACGGGAGGCAGCAGUAGGGAAUCUUCGGCAAUGGACGGAAGUCUGACCGAGCAACGCCGCGUGAGUGAAGAAGGUUGUCGGAUCGGAAAGCUCUGUUGUAAGAGAAGAACGAGUGUGAGAGUGGAAAGUUCACACUGUGACGGUAUCUGACCAGAAAGGGACGGCUAACUACGUG